UUUUUUACUGUAUUUUUUAAUUCUUUUUGCUUUUAAUUUUAGAAAAAUUAUAAAAUUUUUGUUAGUGCCAUUAGUUUUCAAAUUUGAAAACACUUUUUUUGUUUUUUUGUUUUCUUUCUUGCUUUAUUUAUUUUAUUUUGUUUCUACUUACAACAAAAUACUUAUUGUUGCUAUUUUUAAUUAUUACGAGGGCCGAACCAUAAGACAUUAAAGCAUUUCAAAUGAACUAUGAAAAAAUUGAAAGUUGGCAUGGUAUCAUAAAUUCACCCACAUAGCAUGUGCAUGUACAAAACGGACAAUGGUAUCAUACUCGUGUGUUACAAAGUUGGCAUGGUAUCAUCAUAAUAGUUGUGGGAGAAAGUCUUCACUUUUUCUUCGCUUGUGUCAUUUGCUUAUUGCACCGUAACCAUGGAUAAUCUUCAUCACUUAUCAGGAUGCUGGGGUCAGCCUUGACUUUGAAGGGAGGAAUUUCAUGAAACUUUUCAUAAUCUUUAGAUAUGUUUGUCUUUCCCUCCACUCCCAUGAUGUCCCUUUUUCCUGAAAGAACUAUGUGGCGCUUUGGCUCAUCGUAUGAUGUAUUCGCUUCCUUAUCUUUUCUUUUUCUCGGUCUGGUAGACAUGUCCUUCACAUAGAUAACCUGUGCCACAUCAUUGGCUAGGACGAACGGUUCGUCAGUGUACCCAAGAUUUUCAAAUCCACUGUUGUCAUUCCGUACUGUGGGUCUACCUGUACCCCGCCUCCUGACAGAUUGACCCAUUUGCACUUAAACAAAGGGACCUUAAAAUCAUGUCCGUAGUCAAGUUCCCAUAUGUCCACUAUGUAACCAUAAUAUGUGUCCUUUCCCCUCUCGGUUGUUGCAUAAAAGAGGACACUGCUGUUUUGGUUGGUGCUCUUUUGAUCUUGGUCAAUCGUGUAAAAUGUAUUCCCAUUUAUCUCGUAUCCUUUCCAAAUCGUAACAGUCGAAGAUGGUCCCCUGGACAACAAGUACAGCUCAUCACAAACAGUGUUGUCACCUCUGAGACGUGCUUCCAACCAACUGCUGAAAGUCCUGAUGUGUUCACAUGUAAUCCAGUCAUCGCACUGCUCUGGGUGUUUGGAGCGCAGACUGUUCUUGUGUUCAUCGACAUACGGGGUCACCAAGGUAGAGUUCUGUAGAACUGUGUAGCAUGCUUGAGACCAAGAAUAUCCGUCCCUGCAUAUUAUUGAGUCCCUUCCAAGCGUGCCUUUUCUAGUCAGUCUCCCCUCAUACCGCGAUUGAGGGAGACCUAUCUUCUUAAGGCCAGGAAUGAAGUCAACACAAAACCCGAUGAAAUCCUCUGUUUGAUGGCCCAUGGAGAUGCUUCCUUCUGGCCUAGCGCGGUUACAGACAUAUUUCUUUAGGACUCCCAUGAACCUCUCAAAGGGGUACAUAUUGUGUAGAAAUACGGGGCCCAGAAUGACAAUCUCGUCAACUAGAUGAACUAGGACGUGCGUUCAUGAUAUUGAAGAAGGAUGGUGGGAACACCAGCUCGAAACUGACAAGACAUUGCACCACAUCACUCCUUAGCCUUGGUAUGAUUUCUGGAUCGAUCACCUUUUGAGAGAUUGCAUUGUGGAAUGCACAUAGCUUCACAAUGGCUAAUCAGACGUUUUCCGGUAGAAUCCCCCUCAAUGCAACCGGAAGCAGUUGCGUCAUAAUCACGUGGCAGUCAUGAGACUUUAGGUUCUGAAACUUUUUCUUUGACAUAUUUAUUAUUCCUUUUAUAUUCGACGAGAAGCCAGUCGGGACCUUCAUACUAAGCAGGCAUUCAAAGAAGAUUUCCUUCUCUUCUUUGGUAAGAGCAUAGCUGGCAGGACCUUCAUACUGCUUUGGAGGCAUGCCGUCUUUUUCGUGCGAACGUUGCAGGUCCUCCCGUGCCUCAGCUGUAUCUUUUGUCUUCCCAUACACGCCCAAGAAGCCUAGCAGGUUCACGCAAAGGUUCUUCGUCACGUGCAUCACGUCGAUCGAAGAGCGGACCUCUAGGUCUUUCCAGUAGGGUAGGUCCCAAAAUAUAGAUUUCUUCUUCCACAUGGGUGCGUGUCCCCCAGCGUCACUCGGAACAGCUAGUCCGCCGGGACCCUUUCCAAAGAUUACGUGUAAUCAUUGACCAUAGCAAGUACGUGAUCACCGGUACGCAUGGCGGGCUUCCUCCGGUGAUCUGCCUCGCCUUUGAAAUGCUUGCCUUUCUUUCGACAUUGAUGGUUGGUCGGAAGAAAUCGACGAUGGCCCAGGUACACAUUCUUCCUGUAGCUUCCCAGGUAUAUACUAUCGGUGUCAAGUAAAUAGUGCGUGCAUGCGUGGUAUCCCUUGUUUGUCUGUCUUGAAAGGUUACUGAGAGCGGGCCAAUUGUUGAUGGUCACGAACAGCAACGCCUUUAGGUGAAAUUCCUCCUGUUUGUGCUCAUCCCACGUACGUACACCGUUUCCAUUCCACAGCUGUAAAAGUUCUUCAACUAAUGGCCUUAGGUACACAUCAAUGUCGUUGCCGGGUUGCUUAGGGCCUUGGAUGAGAGCUGGCAUCAUAAUGAACUUCCGCUUCAUGCACAUCCAAGGAGGAAGGUUAUACAUACAUAGAGUCACGGGCCAGGUGCUGUGAUUGCUGCUCUACUCCCCGAAAGGAUUAAUGACAUCCGCACUUAAAGCAAACCAUACGUUCCUUGGGUCACUUGCAAACUCAUCCCAGUACUUUCUCUCGAUUUUUCUCCAUUGUGACCCGUCAGCGGGUGCUCUCAACUUCCCGUCUUUCCUACGGUCCUCACUGUGCCAUCGCAUCAACUUGGCAUGCUCUCCGUUUCUGAACAGACGUUUCAACCGUGGUAUUAUAGGAGCAUACUACAUCAGCUUCGCAGGAACCCUCUUCCUGGAGGGCUCGCCGUCAACAUCACCAGGGUCAUCUCGUCUGAUCUUAUACUGUAAUGCACCGCAUACCGGGCAUGCGUUCAGAUCCUUGUACGCACCGCGGUAGAGGAUGCAGUCAUUAGGGCAUGCAUGUAUCUUCUGCACCUCCAAUCCUAGAGGGCAUACGACCUUCUUUGUUGCGUAUGUACUGUCGGCCAAUUCGUUAUCCUUUGGAAGCUUCUUCUUCAAUAUUUUCAGUAGCUUCUCAAAUCCUUUGUCAGGCACAGCAUUCUCUGCCUUCCACUGCAGCAAUUCCAGUAUGGUACCGAGCUUUGUGUUGCCAUCUUCGCAAUUGGGGUACAACCCUUUUUUUGGUCCUCUAACAUGCGAUCGAACUUCAGCUUCUCCUUUUUGACUUUCGCAUUGCGUCCUUGCAUCGACAAUGACCCGGCGGAGAUCAUCAUCAUCGGGCACAUCGUCUGGUUCCUCUUGAUCUUCAGCAGCUUCGCCUGUUGCAGCAUCAUCAUGCACAUCAUCUGGUUCCUCUUGAUCUUCAGUAGCAUCACCGUAUUCAGGGGGCACAUAGUUGUCAUCGUACUUUUCUUCUUCGCCGUCUUCCAUCAUAACCCCUAUUUCUCCGUGCCUCGUCCAAACAUUAUAGUGUGGCAUGAAACCCUUGUAAAGCAGGUGGGUGUGAAGGAUUUUCCGGUCAGAGUAAGACUUCGUAUUCCCACAUAUAGGGCAUGGACAACACAUAAAACCAUUCUGCUUGUUUGCCUCAGCCACUUCGAGAAAUUCAUGCACGCCCUUAAUGUACUCGGAGGUGUGCCUUGAACCGUACAUCCAUUGCCGGUUCAUCUGCGUGCAUUAUAUAUAAUUAAGUGUGUCAAAAAUCAUUAUAGAACAUCAUGAAUAGAUAAUUAAGUGACCAAAUUAAUAGAAGUUCAUCAUCACAUUAAAACCAAAGUACAUACGUAGUUCUCAUCUAACAACAUAAAGCUCUGCAUAGCAUCUAAAUUAAUUAAACCAUACAUUGAAACUAUGUAAAACAUUUCAAUGCGAAAACAAAUGCGAUCAUAAUCGCAACCAAUGUAACAACUGAUCCAACGACAUAAUGAUACCAAGCCUCAGUAUGAAUGGCAUAUUUUCUAAUCUUUCUAAUCUUCAAGCGCAUUGCAUCCAUCUUGAUCUUGUGAUCAUCCAUGACAUCCGCAACAUGCAACUCCAAUAUCAUCUUCUCCUCCUCAAUUUUUCUAUUUUUUUCCUUCAAGAAAUUGUUUUCUUCUUCAACUAAAUUUAACCUCUCGACAAUAGGGUCGGUUGGAAUUUCUGGUUCAACAACCUCCUAGAUAAAUAAAAUAUAUGUCACGUUGGUCGGCAUAAUUGUCAUAAACAAUAGAUGAAACAAUAGUUAUGAAAAGAUAAUAUAUACCACAUCCGAAUCAUAGACAGGACGAGGACCGACGGGGGCAGAUACCAAAACCAUCGCACUAUAUAAGAUGCAAUAAUAAAAGUAAGAAAAUUAUACAAGUAUCUAUAUAAACAUACAAGUAAGAAUUUUUUUCCUUUCAGAAAGAAGAUAAGAACAAGAGGCUCACCACGGUGGUGCCGGCGACGAGAUCGGCGCGGGCGAUCGACGGCGGUGAAGACGGGGAAGGGACGUGACGGACCGCUAAACCUAGACAAAUAUUGAGGAAAAUGGAGCUUGGAGGUCGAGCUUGGAGAGGAGAAAGCUUAAGUAGUGUGCCUCGGACAUUCCAUCGAACACCUCGUGUGCAUAGGAGGUGAGCUAGAGCACCACAAAGCUCUCUCCUCGCCGGCCACGAAAAACAGAGCAGUGAGAGUGCUUUGCUCGCGGGCGAGGGGUAUAUAUAGGCAAUUAAUUGGUCCCGGUUUGUGGCUUGAACCGGGACUAAAGGGAAGCCUUUGGUCCCGGUUCAAGCCACCAACCGGGACCAAUGGUGGUGGGCCAGGACCAAGGCACAUUGGUCCCGGUUCGUCCCACCAACCGGGACCAAAAGGUCCAGACGAACCGGGACCAAUGGCCCACGUGGCCCGGCCGGCCCCCGGGGCUCACGAACCGGGUCCAAUGCCCCUAUUGGUCCCGGUUGGAUUGAACCGGGACUAAUGGGCUGACCCGGCCUGGACCAUUGCCCCCUUUACUACUAGUGAUCAUUCAUGGCGUUCCCGUCAACUUCCACGAUUUCUUCAUGAGGACUCUGGCGAAUAUUGCUAUGUCACCUUUUGAACUGAAGCCUUAUGCACCAUGGAUUAUGAGGUUCAUUAGGACAAGGGCUUCACUAAAUUACAAAGCUGACACUUUGAACCAUGGCAGCUACUUGCCCCCGAUUGAAGUCCUCAAACGGUCAUAUUCCUCAGCUGAUGACAAAGGCAAGGCAACUGUUGUGAUAGAUGAAGGCAUUCGUCCAUUGGAUGGUCAAUUUCGCAAGGCUGCAUCCUACUCCACCAAUGAUGACUCUGCCACACAUGACUCUGCCGCCAAGCAAAAUCCUCAAGCCACAUCUCCCAGGGUGAUGACUGAUCGUGACUUACUCCUCAGUCUUCAUCAGAAGGUUGAUCGCACUCAUAAAUGGGUCAAGCGUCAGUUUGGUUCAAUUCUUCACAACAUGACCUCAACACACAAUGCAGUGAAGAAAAACCAAUAGUACCUCCAUGAAACCUUCAACCGUACCUGGGCUGUUCUAUCUCAUGUCUACAGCGCUGUAGAUCUGAAGAAUAUGGGUCUCAAAGAAGAAUUUGACUAGUCUGCACCUCCACCGAAGAAAUUCAAGAAGGUCAAAGUUCCUUCCUUGGUGGCCAGCUCCUAUUCUUCAUCACGCGAGACUGAUGAAAAUGAAGAUUUGGACAAUGCUGCGGCCGGCCCUACUACAACAACCGACCCCAACACCGUUGGCGCUCCUCCAUCAACUUGAUAUUCUUCAGCGGCGUUAGUCCUCAGUUUCGAUCCUUUUUGGUCAUUCGAUGACAAAGGGGGUGAAAUUUGAGUUAGUCUUCAAGCGGGUCUAUUAUAUGGGCGUUUUUUUUGCUAAGUUACAACUCUCGUUCUUCUGAAACUUUAUUGGAUCGAGUUGUAAUCUUAAACCCGAUGGUGCCCUGAUACUUUUGAUGCACUGUGCUUUGAUACUCUCGAUAUGUUUUUCUGCAUGCUUGUUACUCAUUAAUUAUUGCACGCAUGCUGAAUUUCAUCAGGCACCAUAUUUCAUCAUGCAUUUCAAAUUCUUCAUAUUAUAUGUCAAAUGUGUGUAUGAAUUACAAGAUAUAGGGGGAGAUCUCCAUGAUUUAACUCUUCAAGUGUGCAUUGCUUCAAAAGCAAAUUCCUCACUAUGCACAUCUUCAGGGGGAGUUUUUCUAUAUCUUGCAAUCAAAUUCCUCAAUAUCAGUACUUACACUUCACAUGUUUAUCCCCGUAGAAAACUUAACCUAUAUUUUCAUCAAUCACCAAAAAGGGGGAGAUUGUAAGUGCAUCUAGUGCCCCUUAGUGAUUUUGGUGUAUUAAAGACUUAUAGGUUAAGGGACUAAUGCGUUUGUGAGUGUACACAGGUCUAUAAGUCUAUGAGGAGUUUGAUAUUUACAGGGAAAGUCGACCCCUAAAAAUGAAUAUCUUCGACUGAAGAUUUUGGUAUUUCUGAAGACUUUCAUGAAGACUUUGAAAGUGAAGAAAUUGGUGUAUCCAUGAAGACUUGAUAUUCAUGCGAGGAAUAUGAAGCUUGAAGACUUUAGUUUUCAUAGUUUUGUUUUUCUCUUUCUUGAGUCAUAGGAAACACCGUACUGUUAAAGGGGGUCGAAGAAAUACUAAGGAAAAAUUUCCAUGUGAUGCUCAACUCAAAAUCCUACACCUACCAAACCCUUCGAGUGAAGCCUUUGGAAAUCUCAUACAGUUCAGUCAAUUUCUUCAGUGACAGAGACGAAGUUCUUCUGGUCGCUGAGGAAUUUGUUCUGACUGAGGAGUUAGGAAUUCGCCAGUGCGGAUUGCCUACACAGUGAGGAACAUGAUAGCCCUGAGGAAUUUGAUAGUCAAAUUUCCGACCGUUGUUGUGCUACGCGCCAGCUGUCCCAAAAUAUCUUAUCCACCUAACGGUCAUAUCAGACAAGGGCAUUUAUAUCUUAUCAUGUCGGGCUACUCCCUAGGCUAUAAAUAGCCGCCCCCUACAACCACUAGUUGGUUGGCUGCUCCAAGAGAAACUGACACUUGUCAUUUGAGAGCAACCCAUCCUCCGAGGACUUUGAGCGAAAAUCAUCGAGUGAGGAAAAUCCCAAACCCAAACACCUACAAACCCCAAAGUGAUUGAGCAUCACUGAAGAGAUUGAUCCUGCGUGGAUCCGACGCUUGUUACCUUUGAAGACUGUACUUCUUCCAGACGGUUAGGCGUCAUGGUCUAGAGCAUCCAAGAGGAAUCGUGGAUUGCCGAGUGACCAAGUCUGUGAAGGUUUGGAAGUCACCUGAAGACUUACCACGAGUGAUUGGACGAGGUCUGUGUGACCUUAGUUCAAGGAGAAUACGGUGAGGACUUGGUGUCCUGAGCUGCGCGCUCAGUGACUGGGUGUCCGGGACUGUGUGUCCUCGAGUUUAAAUACUCAGCCGCUCCAACCAGACGUAUAACUGAGACAGCAGUUGGAACUGGUCUAAUAAAUCAUUGUCUUCACCAACCUUACUGGUUCUAUUCCCUCAACUCUUUCAUUUCCUCAUUACUGUGUUGAGUGAUUGUUCAUAUCUGUGUUUGAAGACUUUGACUGAAGACUUUCCUCAGUUCAAUUUCUGUAGUCUGUUUGUCUUCAUCUUGUGUUAUCCUGUGUUUACGCUUUCUGUACUCCGUGCUUGUCUUCAUUUCAUCAUGAUGACUAAGUCUGUAUCCUGUUAUGCUUACUUCUGAGUACUUAUUCCGCUGCUAGUAGUUCUUCGCUAAGGAAUUUCCUCACCGGCAAAUUCCUCAGUGAAGAAUUCAUAAAAAUCUCCUAUUCACCCCCCUCUAGUCGAUAUAACGCACUUUCAGAAUUCUUAAAAAUCGCCUAUUCACCCCCCCUCUAGUCGAUAUAACACACUUUCAUCUUUCCACUCCUCCGGCUCUCCGGCGCUGCUCGGCGUCAAGGCCGAGCCCGCGGCGGAGACGCCGCUCGGCCGGUGCACAUGCAGCGCCGGCAUCGUCAUCAACGAGGGCGGCCGGCGUGCCUCCUCGUCGGCUCCUCCGUGAUUCGUCAAGCCAAAGACGGAGCCGGGGCUCGCGCCGGUGAAAACGGAGCCGGGGCUCCCCGCCGUGAAGACAGAGCCCGGCGACGUUGAGCUCGAUGACGAGGCGGCCUUAAAAUGGGCGUGCAAGGACUUCCUGAAGAUGGAGAGGGAGCGCCAGGUCGCCGCCCUGCGGCGCUUCGAGUAGCGCCGCCGGGGCCGCGAAGAAGGAGGAGUCGUCAUCCUCGACGACAGCAACGACGACGCGCCGCCGCCGCCGCCACCAGUCCGCCAUGGCGACGCCGGGCAGGGGUCCAGCAGGGACGGCCUCGUCAAGGAGGAGAAGGCCGCCGCAGACGAUGACGGCGAGGAUGGCGGCGACGACGGCGACUACUCCGUGUUCAGCGAUUUCUUCCUUUAAUUAUAUUUGCUAUGUAACGCGUCGCGAAAAUGUCAAUAUAUGCCAAAGUUUGCCGAAAUUUAGCCGUGUUUAACCGAACUUCGCCGAAUGUUUAAAAAAAAAUUAGACGCGCCUGGGGACGGCCCUGGGUCCGGUGACUGGCGACCAACUCGCCCUCAAUCCAUUUUUUUACGCCGGCUCGUCUCCAGGUGGCGAUUUUAGGCGCCCCUUGGAGGGCCAACGGCUGAAGAUGCUCUUAUGCCUGGGAAAGCAUUUCCUUAUUCGAACCCAAAAGUGCUAGAUGGAAGGCCUUAUUACGGUGAUGCUACGGACGGUANNNNNNNNNNNNNNNNNNNNNNNNNNNNNNNNNNNNNNNNNNNNNNNNNNNNNNNNNNNNNNNNNNNNNNNNNNNNNNNNNNNNNNNNNNNNNNNNNNNNNNNNNNNNNNNNNNNNNNNNNNNNNNNNNNNNNNNNNNNNNNNNNNNNNNNNNNNNNNNNNNNNNNNNNNNNNNNNNNNNNNNNNNNNNNNNNNNNNNNNNNNNNNNNNNNNNNNNNNNNNNNNNNNNNNNNNNNNNNNNNNNNNNNNNNNNNNNNNNNNNNNNNNNNNNNNNNNNNGCACCCACCUGCACAAGGCCGGUCUGAUGCGGGCACGGGGUCCCUUGAUUUUUCAUUACACUUUUUUUUAUUUUUGUCUUUCAUUUGCUUUAAAAAACAUUUUGGUUUUCUUAAAAGUUCUGAAAUUGAAAAUGUUCAUGAAUUUAAAUGUUUGCUUACUUAGCCCCUUUUUCCUUUUUGAAAAACAAAAUGUUCGUAAGGUUAAGAAGUUCAUGCUUUCAAAAAGAAUUGGGAAUUCAAAAAAUAUUCAUGAAUUCAAAAAAGAACAUGAUUUCAAAACUGUUGCUGAAUUCCAAAAAGUUCAGGAAUUUCAAAAAAGGUUCGUGAAUUCAAAAAACAUUCAUGAAUUAAAAGAAAAUGUCCGUGAGUUCAAAAAAAUGUUCAGGACUUCCAAAUUUUCACGAGUUUGAAUUUUUUUCACAAAGUACAGAAAAUGUUCUUGAACUUAAAAAGUAGUCAUGAAGUUCAAAAAAUGUUCAUCGGUUUCAAAAAAUUUGAGGUCUUCCAUAAAAUGUUAAGAAGUUUGAUUUUUUUCUCAAAUUUUAAAACUUUUAGGAAAUUUAGGGUCAUGAGUUCAAGAAUUUUUCAUGAUUUAAGUUUUUUUAUGAAUUUUAAAAAUGUUUGCAAUAUUGAAAACAUGUGUAAAUAAAAAAGGAAAAAAGGAAAAAGAAAAAAAUAAUUUUAAAAAUGGGAAGACAAAAAUGAAAAAAAGAAGAACAGACUAACCGGCGGCCCAUUCCCGCUGGCGGGUGUGCGUGUUUAGUCACUACAAUAAUCCUACAUACAGGGCAUAGGCCACGGAAGAGAAGUUACGGGCUAGCGUGUUUGCUCCUCAUUAAUCUCUCCCUCCUUGAAUUUCGUUGGGGGUCCCACCACUAACCAACUACGGAUUUACACUUUCGUCCGUAACUCCUUCGGUGCCAAAACCGUCCAUAAGUGUAGCAUUUCCCUUGGUCGCUAUCCCCCCAACCCGCACAUGAAAUAGGGUGUCACCUUGGAUCAAUGUGUUAAACCCCUGUAAAUAAGCGAACCAACCUGUGGUUUGAUGGUUAGAGGGACCGUGGUAUCCCCAGUUCACUAGGAUUCAAGUCCUGAUGCUCGCAUUUAUUUCUGGAUUUAUUUCAGGAUUUCCGGCGAUGCGCAUUCAGUGGGAGGAGACGUCUCCGUCAACGACAAGGUGCCUACGGUAGCUUCGUAAAUUUCAAGAUGAUAGGCCGGCUCGGUCAUUCGGAUGUGCUCAUAGGGGUAGGAUGGGCAUGUGUGCGUCCAUAAGGUGAGUGUAUACGCGUGUAUAUGAGCGCUUGCGUCUGUACUGUGUAAAAAAAACCUAUAAAUAAUUUGUACAUGUAGCUUUACUCAUUUGUAUCUCUGCGAAAACGAUCAUUCACUCGGGGACCUUCAUGAAGGCCAGUCCUCGAUUAAGGUCCAUAAUCUAUGCACAUAAUUCGUAUAAUAUAGCUCUCAUUCAAUAUUGCAUAAGUAAAUUAUUAGGAUUAUAGCAUAAGUAUUCAAUUCAUAUUUUUUUUAAGUAUUGCCAGCAUGCAACUGCAAAAUGAAGAAACCAUUUCAUCAUAGUUAAUCGCGUUCUUCCUAUCAAUAAUAUCUACUGUUAUGUUCUCUCCGCGGGUAGUCCGUCCUCUCCCGUCGCUCACUUCGGUAAUAUCUACUCUCUUCUCCUCUGUACUCGCUGCUGGCAACUCGUCUACUCUCAUCCCGUCGAUGCUGCCUGCUCGAGCUGUGGCCGUGGGAAGAUUGCGGCUGCUCAUCCCUCGGCCUCUUGCGGCCGGAUUCGGCAUCGACCUUGUCAAUUUUACCUUUUGUUGUGUUGCGCUCCCCUGAUGGAAUCACCGCCCCGGUACAAUCGCUAGGGUCGACGACAUGUCCGGCGAAGAGGAUCGCAUGCGACUCCUCCUCGAUUAUAAAGUAGGCGAACGGGUGGUCGGCGACGAAAAGCACUUCCUCCGGCGGGUAUUGAGAGGAUUUGGCAGUGACGUCAUAGAAGGUCAAAGCGGCGGCUUUGGUUCCGUCCUCGUUGACCUCGAUGACAGCCUUCUGGAAGACGUCUUGCACGCAGAACUCGUAGCCGUCAUCCAGCAUCUCGGAGAGGUCGGCCCGAUGGCUGAAAGGUAGCCGGAGCCCAAGGUCCUUAAGGACGGCGGUGACGCUGCUCCUGAAGGAGAGCUCGAACCUGGGCACCAGCACCUGGUCGACCUUGACUCUGCGCGUCGGCAGGUGCUCGCGCAGGAAGCCUGCCGGGGACGACGUCGUGAUCUUGUCCAGCAGGCCCGCCAGGCCGUCACGCGCGUCCGGGAGGAAGACGCACAUGCUGUGGCGCUGGGUGUACGCUGUACUGCUCUCGUAGGGCAGCUUGAGCACCUUGAACCCGUCGUGCCGGUGGAAGGGCCUGUCCUUGGUCGAGCUCUUGUAGAAAGGCAUUUCCCACUUGCCCCUGAAGUAGAUGGCGUUGGCCAGCACGAGGUGGGUGUUCCGGUGUACGGCUCCCCGAGGGACGGCGGAGUCGAUGAGGUUCCUCGUGGAAGCAGCGGCCCACGCGUUGAUCUUCGCCCUAGCUUGCUCCGGGUCGUUGCGGAAGUCCACGGAGCUGGCCUCGGCCUUGUACCUGCCGACGACGGCGUCACGGAAGGCUGGCUUCAGCGGCCGCCUCAGGUCGCUCCAGACGCCGCACGCGAACGCCACGCUCGGCCCGCCGCCGUCAGGAUCCAAUGAUCCGUCCAGGAGACGCUCCACGGAGUCCUCUAGCUCGCGGCGGGACCGUGCGCCUAGGACGCGGAGGAUCUCUUCCAGGGUCUCCCCACCGGCGCCGACGGCCAGGAGCGCCAGGGCGGCGUAGAUGGAGAGCGGCGAGAAGACCAGGUUGCGGUCGCUGUUGGCGUCCGCGAGUCGCUUGGUGAGCCGGGCGGCAAGAUCGGCCAUGCCGGCGGACUGCUGCUCCUCCAUGGCGAGCUAGAGAUCAGAGAUCAAUGGGUUCGACGAUACACCCCGGCCUGAUAUAUAUGGAGUGGAGGGGUACGUAAGUCGGUUGUGAAUCGUGAUUACGUAGUCCCAAUCGGACAUGACCCAGAACCAGAUCUUGAUCCGUGCGUGACAGCGUGAGUGCGACAUGUUGUGAUCCGACUCCGAGUGCUCCCCGUGACCAUUGGCCGUGGCUGAUUUUUAGUAGUAAUAAAAACUAAUUCUGAAUUUGAAGGAAAUGAAAGAAUUUAGCAUUGGCGCUUGCUGACUUUUACUACCUCCAUAUACGAAUACAAGACGUUUUGGUAGAUCAUUUUGUCCUACCAAAACAGUCUUAUAUUCUUAUACGGAGGGAGUAUUAAACUAAUUCUGGAAUUGAAGAAAUAAAAGAAUGAAUUACUUUAGCACAGUGAGCUUACAACGUUAGAUAAACUUGAUUUCUUUGUGAAAUACAUUUUGUCUCCAAUGGUACACAACUUUGCUUCUGACACCACUGAAGUUUGCUUCCAUCAAAAACAUGCAGGGUGAAUGAAGUGUGAAUCCCCGACAGUGCGGCCCAUUCCCGUGGUUGCAAUCCCGACCACGUAAGGAAUAGAAUCUGGGUGGAAACAACCCACGCCCACACAGCGAUGUGUCCAUGGGCCAUAUGGCCGCAAGGAGUGUAACAGAUGCACUGCCCAAUAUUUCCAGCAAAUAAGCACGAGUUGUAGUGGCUAGAGUUGUUCGCCUCGAUCAGUGCAGCGCAGUAUCAGAUCCUCUUGUGUACAUAGUUUUUGCUUUAUUUUUAAAAUUUUGUUCAUACUUCCAAAUUAUCUAAAUAUAUGUAUAUUAAAUAAAACACUAUAUGUAAAACAUUAAAAAAGGUUAAUCAAGCAUUUUAAAAAGUAAAAUGUGUACACAAAGAAUCUUUCUUAUGUAUAUGAAAAAUGUAUACAAAAAGAUACAUACAAUAUAUUAAAAAAAUAUUAAUCCAGCAUCUAUAAAAUGUUAAUCAAGCAUUUAAAAAUGUUAAAUGUGCAUAGAAAAAUGUAUAUAUUAUAAAACAUACUUUACAUAAUAUUUGAAAAAAAUGUUUAUCAAGUAUUUGAAAAUUUUAAAUGUGUAUAGAGAAAAUGUUUCUCAUGUAUACGAAAAAUGUAUAUAAAAAUAUACAAUGUGUAUAAAUAAAAUUGAUCAUUUAUUUAAAAUAUGUUUGUCCUGUAUACAAAAAGAAUAGAAGUGCGUACGAAAAAAGUAUUCAUCAUGUAUUGUAGAAAUGCUAAACGUGUAUAAGAAAAUGUUGAUCAUGUGUGGACCAUUUUUUAAAUGGCAAAAACAUAUUUUUUUCACACGCCAUGUAGAUUAUUUUGUAUACAUCCGGAAAAUAUUUAUAUUCAUGUUUAACAUUUCUUAAAUAAAGAAUUUUCUUUUAUAAAUAUAUGUUUUGAUGUCUAGUUUACUUAAUGUAUGUUCUACAUGUUUUGUAUACACGAUCAACAUUUCUAUAUACAGGCUUAACAUUUUAGAAAUACAUUAUCAAAGUUUUCUCAAACAAAAGAAAACCAAAGAAAACAAACGAAAACCAAGAAACAAACAGAGGAAAUCAAAAGUAAAAAAAAUAUAAAAAACACUAGAAAAAGGAUGAAAAGCAGAGAAAACCGAGAAAGAAACAAAGAAAACCGAUGAAAAACAAGAAAAAUACAAAAAAGCUAAGGAAAAAAGAUAUACCUACUUUACUAAUAAAGAGAUUAGUGCUUCUGCCCGUCUGGCAUGCCCUUUUGUAGAAAACCCCUGGUUCUUUGUUGAAAUCAACCCAAAGUACAAGUUUAAUUGACUCCAAAGAAAAUGUUUUACUUUUUGUAGAAAACCUGCUGUAGUUUUCUCAAAUCAACCAGCGGUCCCGGUUGUGAGUCAGAAGAACUAAUCGAUGUUUGCGGAAAAUACCUUGACAUUUGGUUUAAUCAACCUAUAAUCCAUAUCAUAUGUUUUUAAAAAUAGUCAUAUAUUUUGAGCCAUAGCUCCGUUUUUAACAUGUUAGAUAUGAAAUUUGAAUACAAAUGUAUAGAAUCUGAAUAUGGUGUUAUUUUACCUGUUAACCAUUUAAAAAUGCUAUUUAGGAUGCAAUUUUAAUCAAUAGUGCAUGAUCCGCCUUUCGUAUCGGUGCGGAUCUAAAUUGAAAAUGAACAUGUUAGAAAACUAGAUUAGAGACGAAAGAAUCAUCUAUAACCAUGCAUGCACGUGUCAGCAAAUCCUCGCAAGGGCAAAAGAAAGCAAAUUAGAGAGUGAGAGAGAGAGGGGGGGGGGGAGGCCUUAUGAUUGACCACAUUCAAACGCGUUGUGAUUGUGUGAGCAUUGGGGCCACGGUCGAUGAGGGUGGGAAGGAGAAUAAAUGGCAGCACAAAUAAGAUGUCAUGUUCAAAUAAAGAAUGUUGAUCUAUUGGGGUAUUGAGUCAUGGUUAUUGGGUUACAGGCAUGUGUUAUUUUUUCUCCCAUUGCAACACACAAACACUUUUUCCUAGUAUAUAAACAAAUAAAAGAGAAAACCACUAAAAACAAGAAAGAAACAAAAACAAAUCAAAGAAAACGAGAAAAAUAAUAAUGAAUAAACAAGGAAAUCUGGUUAAAAAGAAAGAAAACUAAAACCAAAGAAAAACAUAUGGAAGAGACAAAGGAAAAACAAAAGGAAAGGGGAAAAACCAGAAAGAAAACCAAAAAAACUUAAAGGAAACCAGACCAACUAGUAAAGCCGUUGACACCUCGAGCGAGCAAACGCGACAGCAAUAAGAAUAAAUGAGUUAGCCCAGUUAGAAUGCAGAGUUGACUUCAUUGAGAUGAGUGUACCUUCGAUCUCGCUUAUAGCGAGAAAUAGAUUUCAUGUAGGAUCCGCCCAUGAUCCCGUGAAUCUAGGUGGGUGGGCCAGAUUUCCCAAGUGAGCCCAAUCUAGAUGCAUAAAGUGCCACGAUUGGAUUAGUUUCUAAAACCUCCAUUCGUGUAGCUUUACUCAUUCAUAACUCUUCGAAUUAGCUUUAGUUUGGCCCGUAGUCUAUGGAUAUAAAUGCAUUCAUAUAAGGGAGCUCUUAUUGGGGAUUGUCUAUUUAGCACUCGACUGUUUUUCAAUUCGACAACAAUCAAAUUUUCUAACAAAUGAGCAGAUGACAACUGUAUGUCCCAAAAAAACCUCCAGCGGCAACUGUAUAUUUUCUAUUUAAAAAAAUGGGUCGGGCAAACCCUGACCCAGUUUCAACUAAACCGACACCCAAAACCUUCCUGGACCAUAGCUAACAGCUGGCCAUAAACCUCCCUGGAUCCACAGUUAACAGCUCGCCAUCAACUUGAGACCCAUGAAAAUGGCAAACCCCAUGGAAAAUCUCCACCCCUUCUACAUAACAGAGAUCUCAUGUAACACACGCCACAACACAGAAACAAAUCAGACUGGCGGCCACGGAAGAAGGGUGGGGAGAAGAAGAAAGAGCAGAUCAAAAUCAGAUCAGGAAGGCGGCCAUGGUAGAGGGGGUGAACCCGGAGAGGAAGGUGUACCUAGAGACGAGCAAGAAGGAAGAACAGCAGCCAGACAAUUGGGGAAAUCCUAGGAAAAUCAACAGGUCAGGAACAAUUCUACUCCUAUCCCUAGUACUUCAAUUCUUCACCCGCUUCACCUCUCUUACAAGGAAUAUCUGGAAAACAAAGGCAUCAGAGAAACUAUAUGCAGGUUAAGAAACAAAGAGGAAAUCACACUGGAAAAACUAGAUACUCUGAAAAGAAUAGAUCAACUUGGAUAGUUGUAGAAAUGACACUGCAAGAACACAUUGUUCACUAGAAGUUCACAAAACUUCGAUAGUUACAGAAACUGACUAAGAAUGACACUGGAAGAACAGUACCAGACCUUGCUAACUUACACUGAAACUGCCUAAGAAAUACAUUGCAAAACUAAGAAUUACAGUGCAAAUCCCCUAGGAAUUACAGUACAUAGUAAUUCACGGUGCGAUUACCAAACGAAUUACAGUGCAAUUGCCAAUGAAUUACAGUGGAAAUUGCCUAGAAAUUUCAUAUCAAAUGUAAGAAUGCAUGAAGUUACACUGGAAAAACCGACUGUACUGUUAAAUGCAACUGCUAAUUGUACUAUUACUGACAUUUCUUUUCCAAAAAUGCAGAUGGGGAGCAUGACAAGAACAAUAAUAGGGGGAAAUAAAUCAAGAUAAAUACACUGCAAAAAUGGGGGAAAUACACUAUAAAAUACAUAUGUAAACCAUCACAAUUCUUGGGGAAAUUACAGUAGAAAUAGGGCCCAUGUAAAAUGUCAGGAAUUACAUAACUGAAACACUAGUGUUACACAGUAACUCGGGUAAAUUACACUGAAAGUAAGGGACAUAUUACACUGAAACUAUUAGGAUGAAUCACACAGUAAUUCUAGACUGAAUUACACUAAAACUACUGUAUGAGUUACAUAGUAAUUCUUGGGAAAAUUACACAGUAAUUCUAGAGUGGAUUACCGAACUAAGGAAUCGGUUAGAAAUGUUUUGAAAUGGAUAUUGUUCUCUCUUUGAUCAGGGAUUAUGGGGCAAAUUACACAGUAAUACUAGUGUGAAUUACACUGAAACGAUGGGAUGAAUUACAUAAUAACUAUGGGGUAAAUUACACAGGAAUACUAGUGUGAAUUACACUCAAACUACGGGAUGAAUUACACAGUAACUAUGGGGCAAACUACACAGUAAUAGUAGUGUGAAUUACACUGAAACUGGGGCAAAUUACACCGUAAUUCUGGAGUGCAUUGCACUGAAACUAUUGGCUGAAUUACAUAGUAAAUACAGAGCUAAUUACAUAGUAUAUUACACUGAAACUAUGGGGAUUACACAUCAAGUCUGAGGCAAAAUAGACAGUACUUCUAGUGUAUAUGACACUGAAAUUAUGGGGUUACACAGUAACACUAAGAUAAGUAAAAGAACACUUAACACAGGCAGAGAUACACUAAACCUGUAGCAGUAAUACAGUUCAAUCACCCAGGGCAUUAAGAAGGAGAAGCUUAAAGGAAUUACAUUGCAAAAGCACAUGAAAAUACAGAGAAAAAGCACUCAGAGGAUAGUAUAGGGCUACACCACAGGAAGGAAACACCAAAAACAGAGCACUGACGUGCUGGGUAACUAGGAUACACUAAGAGAGAUAUUUAUGCACUCAGAGGCCAAAGGGACAUGGGCAUUGCAUGCGGCAGGGGCCAGAGGAGGAACAUAACUACAUCUAAACCUACCGAAAUCCAAACAUCUACAACCCUAGAACCAACACGGCUAGAUGAGGAACACCUAUCUACCAGCGAACAAACAGACCACCUACCGAUGCAAAUCACAAACCCCAAACCACAAAAAAUCCCAUCUCAAAACCUAUAACUGAUCCAUACAUCUAUCCGAACCACAAAAUGAAACACCCAUGAGCCUACCACGAGCAGACGAGGAACAAAAUGGCGGAAAACACGAAGUAGGCGAGGAACCAUGAUGGACAACACGAAGCAGAACCAACCACUAAAACCACAAGCAGAUACCACGAAUCUACAACAACAUGGCCCGGGAUCACAACACACACCUAACACAAACCCUAACAAAAUUACAUCAGCAACUAACGCUCAAUCUAGAAGCCACACACCCAGACAUGAACAAAAAUCACGCGCGCGAGAGAGAGAAUUAUGAGACAAACCAACCGCAGCAGGCGAGAAUCGAAGAGAAAGGAGAGAGAAAUCAAGCUCCACAGGUGGGGGAUCUCGGAAUCAACAUGAACAGAAAGGAAUCCCUCUGCCACCCGAGCGUCUGUUCCUCUCUCUGCCUCGCUAUCUCAUCUCUCCCUUAUCGAAACAGUGCCACUCAAAUGAAAGGGGAAAACCACGCCGAAAAUUCAAAAAGGACAAAACCUGGAAGAGGGCGAGGGGGCAACCCGAUGAAACGGUAAUGGGCUGAGACAGAAAACCGCACCCGACAGAGAAAACAAGUCCGAAAACCAGGCAGCCAAGCGCGAAUCUCCACGCAACAGCGGACGGACAACGAUUUGAAUGUUGGCGAAUGGAAUAACAGUCGACCGUAAAAUAGCAAAUCCGUUUAGUAUUGCACAAGUAAAAAGACUUUGCAUAAGUAUUCAAUUCAUUUUUUUUGCACAAGUAUUGCAAGCAUGCAGCUGCCAAAUGAAGAAACUAUUCAUCCUAGUUCAUUCCUUCAUAUCAAUAAUAUCUACUAUGUUUUCUCCUCGGGCUGCUCAUCUUCUCCCGUCGCUCACUUCGAUAAUAAAGACGAUAAUAAUAUCUACUCUCUUCUCUUCUGUUCUCGCUUCUGGCAACUCGUCUACUCCCGUGCCGUCGAUGCUGCCUGCUGGAGCUGUGGCCGUGGGAAGAAUGCGACGGCUCAUCCCUCCGCCUCUUGCGGCCGGAUUUGGUGUCGACCUUGUCACUGAACCUGUCAAUUUUACCUUUUGUCGCGCUGCGCUCCCCGGACGGAAUCACCACCCCGGUACCAUUGCUAGGGUCGACGACAUGUCCGGCGAAGAGGAUGGCAUGCGACUCCUCCUCGAUUAUGAAGUAGGCGAACGGGUGGUCGGCGACGAAAGCACUACCUCUGGCGGGUGUUGACAUGAGGAUUUCACAAUGGCGUCAUAGAUGGUCAUAGCGGCAGCUUCCGUUCCGUCCUCGUUGACCUCGAUGACAGCCUUCUGGAAGACAUCUUGCACGAGGACGUCCUCCUCCAGCAUCUCGGAGAGGUCGGCCCGUUGGCUGAAAGGUAGCCGGAGCCCCAGAUCUUUAAGGACGGCGGUGAUGCUGCUCUCGAAGGAGAGCUCGAACCUGGGCACCAGCACCUCGUCCACAUUAACCCAGCGCGUCGGCAGGUGCUCGCGCAGGAAGGCUGCCGGGGACGACGACGUAAUCUUGUGCAGCAGCCUCCUCAGGCCGUCGCGCGCGUCCGGAAGGAAGAUGCACAUGCUGUGGCGCUGGGUGUACGUCGGACUACGCUGGUAUCCUAACUUGAGCACCUUGAACCCGUCGUGCGCGGCCAUGUCGUGAUAGUUAUCUCUGUGGUACGUCAUGAAGGGGACGUCGACGGCGGUGCCGUCCAGCCGGUAGAAGGGCCUGUUCUUGGUCGAGCUUUUGUAGAAAGGCACGUGCCACUUGGCCCUGAAGUAGAUGGCGUUGGCCAGCACGAGGUCGGUGUCCGGGCGUACGGCUCCCGGAGGGACGGCGGAGUCGAUGAGGUUCCUCGUGGCCGCAGCGGCCCACGCGUUGAUCUGCGCCGUCGCUUGCGCCGGGUCGUUGUGGAAGUCGACGGAGCUGGCCUCGGCCUUGUACUUGCCGACGACGGCGUCACGGAAGGCCGGCUUCAGCCGCCGCGUCAGGUCGCUCCAGACGCCGCACGCGAACGCCACGCUCGGCCCGCCGCCGUCAGGAUUCGACGAUCCGUCCAGGAGACGCGCCACGGAGUCCUCUAGCUCGAGGCGGGACCGCGUGCCUAGGACGCCGAGGAUCUCUUCCAGGGUCUCCCCACCGGCGCCGGCGGCCAGGAGCGCCAGUACGGCGUAGAUGGAGAUCGGCGAGAAGACCAGGUUGCGGUCUCUGUUGGCGUCCGCGAGUCGCUUGAUGAGGCGGGCGGCGAGAUCGGCCAUGCCGGCGGACUGCUGCGCCUCCAUGUCGAUGUCAAUCUAGAGAUCAUCGGCCUGAUAUUUAUGGAGGGGCACGUAAGUCGGUCGUGAUCAUGGAGUCCCAAUCCAGCAUGAACCCGAUCUGCCAGGCGUGCGUGCGUGCGACUUGCUGUGAUUUGAGUGCUCCCGGUGACCAUUGGCGGUUGCUGAUUUUUUCUGGAAUUGAAGGAAAUAAAAGAAUAUAUUAAUUUUUCUUUUUGCGGUUGAAAAUAUUGUAUUACUCGUUCCCAAGAUUCAUACAAUCAAUCGCAGCUAGCUCUAAAACGUCCGGAGGGCCAGACCCUAGCCAAGUCAAGGUUCUUCCCUCAACACAAGCAAAUCUUGCUACCAUCAGAUAGUUUGCUUCCUUGUGAAACACAAAUUGUCUCCCGUCAAAUUCCUUUUGUCUCCAAUGCUACUCAACUUUGCUUUCAGCGACACUGAAAGUUUGCUUCGAUCAAGAACAUGGUGAAUGAAAUUUGAUUUAGUUAUCUUUCGACACCAUCGAAGAUGGGCUCUUGCCGCCAUCACCGAGGAGUGUGGUGUCACCAACGAGGAGUCUCGCAAAGUCGUAGCUACAAAUGGUGCAACAUCAUCGACCUGAUGUUGAUAUGCUCCAUGAUAUGCCAACCACCGAAGGGAGACUAGCUAAGGCUGCUCCCAACGGCGGCAUGGGCGCCCUUCCCGCCCCCACCACCAUCCUCCACCUCGUGCUUUGUUCUCCUAGUUGUUGUCGUACAAAGCCAACGACAAAGCCCGCUCUUCGAACGGCGACAGUGUUGGGUAAUGUAGCAGAAAUUCAAAAAUUUCCUACGAGUCACCAAGAUCUAUCUAUGGAGAGACUAGCAAUGAGGGGAAGGAGAGUGCAUCUACAUACCCUUGUAGAUCGCUAAGCGGAAGCGUUGAAGAGAACGGGGUUGAAGGAGUCGUACUCGUCGUGAUCCAAAUCACCGGAGAUCCUAGUGCCGAACGGACGGCACCUCCGCGUUCAACACACAUGCAGCCCGGUGACGUCUCCCAUGCCUUGGUCCAGCAAGGAGAGAGGGAGAGGUUGGGGAAGACUCCAUCCAGCAGCAGCACAACGGCAUGGUGGUGAUGGAGGAGCGUGGCAAUCCUGCAGGGCUUCGCCAAGCACCACGGGAGAGGAGGAGGACUUGAGAGAGGGGGAGGGCUGCGCCAGAACUUGGUUGAAGCUCCCAUGCGCCUCCCCACUAUAUAUAGGGGUGGAGGGGGCUGGUUUCUUGCCCUCCAAGUCCAUUGGGGCGUUGGCAAAGGUGGGAGGAAAGAAAUCCCAUCAUUUCCUUCCCCACCGAUUGUUAUCCCCCCUUUUAGGGAUCUUGAUCUUAUCCCUUCGGGAUAUGAUCUUAUUCCUUCUAAGGGGGGAUCUUGGUGCGCCUUGACCAGGGGUGUGGGGCCUUGCCCCCACUACCCACGUUCAUGUGGGCCCCCCAUGCAGGUGGGCCCCACUACGGAACCUUCUAGAACCUUCCCGGUACAAUACCGAAAAAUCCCGAACAUUUUCCGGUGGCCAAAAUAGGACUUCCCAUAUAUAAAUAUUUACCUCUGGACCAUUCCGGAACUCCUCGUGACGUCCGGGAUCUCAUCCGGGACUCCGAACAACAUUCGGUAACCACAUACAAACUUCCUUUAUAACCCUAGCGUCAUCGAACCUUAAGUGUGUAGACCCUACGGGUUCGGGAACCAUGCGGACAUGACCUAGACGUUCUCCGGCCAAUAACCAACAGCGGGAUCUGGAUACCCAUGUUAGCUCCCACAUGUUCCACGAUGAUCUCAUCGGAUGAACCACGAUGUCAAGGACUCAAUCGAUCCCGUAUACAAUUCCCUUUGUCUAGCGGUAUUGUACUUGCCCGAGAUUCGAUCGUCGGUAUGCCGAUACCUUGUUCAAUCUCGUUACCGGCAAGUCUCUUUACUCGUUCCGUAGCACAUCAUCCCAUGAUCAACCCCUUGGUCACAUCGUGCACAUUAUGAUGAUGUCCUACCGAGUGGGCCCAGAGAUACCUCUCCGUCACACGGAGUGACAAAUCCCAGUCUCGAUUCGUGCCAACCCAACAGACAGUUUCGGAGAUACUUGUAGUGCACCUUUAUAGCCACCCAGUUACGUUGUGACAUUUGGUACACCCAAAGCAUUCCUACGUUAUCCGGGAGUUGCACAAUCUCAUAGUCUAAGGAAAAUAUACUUGACAUUUAAAAAAGCUUUAGCAUACGAACUACACGAUCUCUGUGCUAGGCUUAGGAUUGGGUCUUGUCCAUCACAUCAUUCUCCUAAUGAUGUGAUCCCGUUAUCAAUGACAUCCAAUGUCCAUGGUCAGGAAACCGUAACCAUCUAUUGAUCAACGAGCUAGUCAACUAGAGGCUUACUAGGGACAUGGUGUUGUCUAUGUAUCCACACAUGUAUCUGAGUUUCCUAUCAAUACAAUUAUAGCAUGGAUAAUAAACGAUUAUCAUGAACAAGGAAAUAUAAUAAUAACUAAUUUAUUAUUGCCUCUAGGGCAUAUUUCCAACAGUCUCCCACUUGAACUAGAGUCAAUAAUCUAGUUCACAUCGCCAUGUGAUUAACACUCACACGUCACAUCACCAUGUGACCAACAUCCAAAGAGUUUACUAGUGUCAUUAAACUAGUUCACAUCAUCAUGUGAUUAAGACUCAAUGAGUUCUGGGGUUUGAUCAUGCAUGUUUUGCUUGUGAGAGAAGUUUUAGUCAACGGGUCUGCAACAUUCAGGUCCGUAUGUACUUCGCAAAUCUCUAUGUCAUAUUGUAAAUGCUGCUUCCACGCUCCACUUGGAGCUAUUUCAAAUGGUUGUUCCACUAUACGUAUCAUGUUUGCUACUCAGAGUCAUUCGGAUAGGUGUUAAAGCUUGCAUCGACGUAACCCUUUACGCCGAACUCUUUAUCACCUCCAUAAUCGAGAAACAUGUCCUUAUUUACUCCAAGGACAAUUUUGACCGCUGUCCAAUGAUCCAUUCCUGGAUCAUUCUUGUAUCCCUUGACUGACUCAUGGCAAGGCACACUUCCGGUGCGGUACACAACAUAGCAUACUAUAGAGCCUACGUCUGAAACAUAGGGGACGACCUUCGUCCUUUGUCUCUCUUCUACCGUGGUCGAGCUUUAACUCUUAACUUCAUACCUUACAACUCAGGCAAGAACUUCUUCUUUGACUGAUCCAUCUUGAACUCCUUCAAGAUCAUGUCAAGGUAUGUGCUCAUUUGAAAGUAUUAUUAAGCAUUUUGAUCUAUCUUAUAGAUCUUGACGCUUAUUGUUCAAGUAGCCUAAUCCAGGUUUUCUAAUUUGAAAAACACUUUUCAAAUAACCCUACAUGCUUUCCAGAAAUUCUACAUCAUUUCUGAUCAACAAUAUGUCAACAACAUAUACUCAUCAGAAAUUCUAUAGUGCUCCCACUCACUUCUUUGGAAAUACAAGUUUCUCAUAAACUUUGUAUAAACCCAAAAUCUUUGAUCAUCUCAUCAAAGUGUAUAUGCCAACUCCGAGAUGCUUACUCCAGUCCAUGGAAGGAUCGCUGGAGCUAGCAUACCUUUUAGCAUCCUUAGGAUCGACAAAACCUUUCUGAUUGUGUCACAUACAACCUUUCCUUAUGAAGACUGGUAAGGAAACUCGUUUUGACAUCCAUCUGCCUGAUUUCAUAAAUGCAGCUAAUUCUAACAUGAUUCCGACGGACUUAAGCAUCGCUACGGAUGAGAAAAUCUCAUCGUAGUCAACUCCUUGAACUUGUGAAAAACUCUUCGCCACAAGUCGAGCUUCAUAGACGGUGACAUUAUCGUCCACGUCCGUCUUCUUCUUAAAUAUCCAUUUAUCUCAAUGGCUUGCCGAUCAUCGGGCAAGUCCACCAAAGUCCAUGCUUUGUUCUGAUACAUGGAUCCUAUCUUGGAUUUCAUGGCUUCUAACUAUUCGUCGGAAUUUGGGCCCACCAUCGCUUCUCCAUAGCUCGUAGGUUCAUUGUUGUCUAGCAACAUGACUUUCAAGACAGGAUUACUGUACCACUCCGAAGUAGUACGCAUCCUUGUCACCCUAUGAGGUAUGGUAGUGACUUGAUCCAAAGCUUCAUGAUCACUGUCAUAAGCUUCUACCUCAAUUGUUGUAGGCGCCACAGGAACAACUUCCUGUGCCCUGCUACACACUUGUUGAAGUGAUGGUUCAAUAACCUCAUCAAGUCUCCACCAUCCUCCCACUCAAUUCUCGAGACAAACCUUUCCUCGAGAAAGGACCCGAUUCAAGAAACAAUCCCUAUUGCUUUCCGAUAUGAAUUAGGAGGUAUACCCAACUGUUUUGGGUGUCCUAUGAAGAUGCAUUUUAUCCGCUUUGGGUUCGAGCUUAUCAACCUGAAACCUUUUCAUAUAAGCGUCGCAGCCCCAAACUUUUAAGAAACGACAAUUUAGGUUUCUCCAAACCAUAGUUCAAACGGUGUCGUCUCAACGGAAUUAUGUGGUGCCCUAUUAAAGUGAGUGCGGUUGUCUCUAAUGCCUAACCCAUGAACGAUAGUGGUAAUUCGAUAAGAGACAUCAUGGUACGCACCAUGUCCAAUAGGGUGCAACUAUGAUGUUCGGACACACCAUCACACUAUGGUGUUCCAGGCGGUAUUAACUGUGAAACAAUUUCCACAAUGACUUAAUUGCGUGCCAAAGCUCGUAACUCAGAUACUCAUCUCUAUGAUCAUAUCAUAGACAUUUUAUCCUCUUGUCACAAUGAUCUUCAACUUCACUCUGAAAUAACUUGAACCAUUCAAUAAUUCAGACUUGUGUUUCAUCAAGUAAAUAUACUAAACAUCUACUCGAAUCAUCUGUGAAGUAAGAACAUAACGAUAUUCACUACAUGCCUCAGCACUCAUUGGACUGCACACAUCAAAAUGUGUUACUUCCAACAAGUUGCUAUCUUGUUCCAUCUUACUGAAAACGAGGCUUUUUAGUCAUCUUGCCCAUGUGGUAUGAUUUGCAUAUCUCAAGUGAUUCAAAAUCAAGUGAGUCCAAACGAUCCAUCUGCAUGGAGUUUCUUCAUGCGUAUACACCAAUAGACAUGGUUCGCAUGUCUCAAACUUUUCAAAACCGAGUGAGUCCAAAGAUCCAUCAACAUGGAGCUUCUUCAUGCGUUUUAUACCAAUAUGGCUUACAUGGCAGUGCCACAACUAAGUGGUACUAUCAUUACUAUCUUAUAUCUUUUGGCAUGAAAAUGUGUAUCACUAUGAUAGAGAUUCAAUAAACCAUUCCUUUAGGUGCAAGACCAUUGAAUGUAUUAUUCAAAUAAAUAGAGUAACCAUUAUUCUCCUUAAAUGAAUAACCGUAUUGCGAUAGACAUAAUCCAAUCAUGUCUAUGCUCAACGCAAACACCAAAUGACAAUUAUUCAGGUUUAAUACUAAUCUUGAUGGUAGAGGGAGCGUGCAAUGUUUGAUCACAUCAAACUUGGAAACACUUCCAACACAUAUCGUCAGCUCACCUUUAGCUAGUCUCCGUUUAUUCCGUAGCUCUUUUAUUUCGAGUUACUAACACUUAGCAACCGAACCGGUAUCUAAUACCCUGGUGCUACUAGGAGUACUAGUAAAGUACACAUUAACAUAAUGUAUAUCCAAUAUACUUCUAUCGACCUUGCCAGCCUUCUCAUCUACCAAGUAUCUAGGGUAAUUCUGCUCCAGUGGUUGUUCCCCUUAUUACAGAAGCACUUAGUCUCGGGUUUGGGUUCAACCUUGGGUUUCUUCAUUAGAGCAGCAGCUGAUUUGCCGUUUCAUGAAGUAUCCCUUCUUGCCCUUGCCCUUCUUGAAACUAGUGGUUUCACUAACCAUCAACAAUUGAUGCUCCUUCUUGAUUUCUACUUUCGCGGUGUCAAACAUCGCGAAUACCUCAAGGAUCAUCAUCUCUAUCCCUGAUAUGUUAUAGUUCAUCACGAAGCUCUAGCAGCUUGGUGGCAAUGACUUUGGAGAAACAUCACUAUCUCAUCUGGAAGAUCAACUCCCACUCGAUUCAAGUGAUUGUCGCACUCAGACAAUCUGAGCACAAGCUCAACGAUUGAGCUUUUCUCCCUUAGUUUGCAGGCUAAGAAAAUCGUCGGAGGUCUCAUACCUCUUGAUGUGGGCACGAGCCUGAAAUCCCAAUUUCAGCCCUCGAAACAUCUCAUAUGUUCCGCGACAUUUCGAAAACGUCUUUGGUGCCUCAACUCUAAACCGUUUAACUGAACUAUCACAUAGUUAUCAAAACGUGUAUGUCCGAUGUUCGCAACAUCCACAAACAACGUUUGGGGUUCAGCACACUGAGCGGUGCAUUAAGGACAUAAGCUUUCUACUGUCUGCAUAAUCGCUACUAUCAACUUUCAACUAUAGUUUCUCUAGGAACAUGUCUAAACAGUGGAACUAAAGCGCGAGCUUACGACAUAAUUUGCAAAGAUCUUUUGACUAUGUUCAGGAUAAUUAAGUUCAUCUUAUGAACUCCCACUCAUAUAGACAUCCCUCUAGUCAUCUAAGUGAUUACAUGAUCCGAGUCAACUAGGCCGUGUCCGAUCACCACAUGAGACGGACUAGUCAUCAUCGGUGAACAUCUUCAUGUUGAUCAUAUCUACUAUACGACUCAUGCUCGACCUUUCUGUCUCUUGUGUUCUGAGGCCAUGUCUGUACAUGCUAGGCUCGUCAAGUCAACCUAAGUGUUUCGCGUGUGUAAAUCUGGCUUACACCCGUUGUAUGUGAACGUAAGAAUCUAUCACACCCUAUCAUCAUGUGGUGCUUCGAAACGACGAACUUUCGCAACGGUGCACAGUUAGGGGGAACACUUUCUUGAAAUUUUAAUGAGGGGUCAUCUUAUUUACUACCGUCGUUCUAAGCAAAUAAGAUGCAUAAACAUGAUAAACAUCACAUGCAAUCAAAAAGUGACAUGAUAUGGCCAAUAUCAUUUUGCUCCUUUUGAUCUCCAUCUUCGGGGCUCCAUGAUCAUCAUCGUCACCGGCAUGACACCAUGAUCUCCAUCAUCGUGAUCUCCAUCAUCGUGACUCCAUGAAAUUGUCUCGCCAACUUAUUACUUCUACUACUAUGGCUACCGGUUAGCAAUAAAGUAAAGUAAUUACAUGGCGUUGUUCAAUGACACGCAUGUCAUACAAUAAAUAAAGACAACUCCUAUGGCUCCUGCCGGUUGUCAUACUCAUCGACAUGCAAGUCGUGAUUACUAUUACAAGAACAUGAUAAAUCUCAUACAUCACAUAUCAUUCAUCACAUUCUUCUUGGCCAUAUCACAUCACAUAGCAUACCCUGCAAAAACAAGUUAGACGUCCUCUAAUUGUUGUUUGCAUGUUUUACGUGUUUGCUAUGGGUUUCUAGCAAGAACGUUUCUUACCUACGCAAAACCACAACGUGAUAUGCCAAUUGCUAUUUACCCUUCAUAAGGACCCUUUUCAUCGAAUCCAUUCCGACUAAAGUGGGAGAGACUGGCACCCGCUAGCCACCUUAUGCACCAAGUGCAUGUCAGUCGGUGGAACCUGUCUCACGUAAGUGUACGUGUAAGGUCGGUCCGGGCCGCUUCAUCCCAUAAUACCGUCGAAACAAGAUUGGACUAGUAACGGUAAGCAUAUUGAACAAAAUCAACGCCCACAACUACUUUGUGUUCUACUCGUGCAAAGAAUCUACGCAAUAGACCUAGCUCAUGAUGCCACUGUUGGGUAACGUAGCAGAAAUUCAAAAUUUUCCUACGAGUCACCAAGAUCUAUCUAUGGAGAGACUAGCAACGAGGGGAAGGAGAGUGCAUCUACAUAUCCUUGUAGAUCGCUAAGCGGAAGCGUUGAAGAGAACGGGGUUGAAGGAGUUGUACUCGUCGUGAUCCAAAUCACCGGAGAUCCUAGUGCCGAACGGACGGCACAUCCGCGUUCAACACACAUGCAGCCCGGUGACGUCUCCCAUGCCUUGAUCCAGCAAGGAGAGAGGGAGAGGUUGGGGAUGACUCCAUCCAGCAGCAGUACAACGGCAUGGUGGUGAUGGAGGAGCGUGGCAAUCCUGCAGGGCUUCGCCAAGCACCGCGUGAGAGGAGGAGGACUUGAGAGAGGGGGAGGGCUGCGCCAGAACUUGGUUGAAGCUCCCAUGCGCCUCCCCACUAUAUAUAGGGGUGGAUGGGUCUGGUUUCUUGCCCUCCAAGUCCAUUGGGGCGUUGGCAAAGGUGGGAGGAAAGAAAUCCCAUCAUUUCCUUCCCCACCGGUUGUUAUCCCCCCUUUUAGGAAUCUUAAUCUUAUCCCUUCGGGAUAUGAUCUUAUUCCUUCUAAGGGGGGAUCUUGGUGCGCCUUGACCAGGGGUGUGGGGCCUUUCCCCCACUACCCACGUUCAUGUGCCCCCCCAUGCAGGUGGGUCCCACUCCGGAACCUUCUAGAACCUUCCCGAUACAAUACCGAAAAAUCCUGAACAUUUUCCGGUGGCCAAAAUAGGACUUCCCAUAUAUAAAUAUUUACCUUCGGACCAUUCCGGAACUCCUCGUGACGUCCGGGAUCUCAUCCGGGACUCCGAACAACAUUCGGUAACCACAUACAAACUUCCUUUAUAACCCUAGCGUCAUCGAACCUUAAGUGUGUAGACCCUACGGGUUCGGGAACCAUGCGGACAUGACCUAGACGUUCUCCGGCCAAUAACCAACAGCGGGAUCUGGAUACCCAUGUUGGCUCCCACAUGUUCCACGAUGAUCUCAUCGGAUGAACCACGAUGUCAAGGACUCAAUCGAUCCCGUAUACAAUUCCCUUUAUCUAGCGGUAUUGUACUUGCCCGAGAUUCGAUCGUCGGUAUGCCGAUACCUUGUUCAAUCUCGUUAUCGGCAAGUCUCUUUACUCGUUCCGUAACACAUCAUCCGUGAUCAACCCCUUGGUCACAUCAUGCACAUUAUGAUGAUGUCCUAUCGAGUGGGCCCAGAGAUACCUCUCCGUCACACGGAGUGACAAAUCCCAGUCUCAAUUCGUGCCAACCCAACAGACACUUUCGGAGAUACCUGUAGUGCACCUUUAUAGCCACCCAGUUACGUUGUGACGUUUGGUACAUCCAAAGCAUUCCUACGGUAUCCGGGAGUUGCACAAUCUCAUGGUCUAAGGAAAAGAUACUUGACAUUUAGAAAAGCUUUAGCAUACGAACUACACGAUCUUUGUGCUAGGCUUAGGAUUGGGUCUUGUCCAUCACAUCAUUCUCUUAAUGAUGUGAUCCCGUUAUCAAUGACAUCCAAUGUCCAUGGUCAGGAAACCGUAACCAUCUAUUGAUCAACGAGCUAGUCAACUAGAGGCUUACUAGGGACAUGGUGUUGUCUAUGUAUCCACACAUGUAUCUGAGUUUCCUAUCAAUACAAUUAUAGCAUGGAUAAUAAACGAUUAUCAUGAACAAGGAAAUAUAAUAAUAACUACUCCCUCCGUUCCUCAAUAUAAGGUGUAUUAUUUUUCCAAAAAGUCAAACUUCUCUAAGUUUGACCAAGUUUAUAGACAAAAAUAUCGAUAUCUAGAAUACCAAAUCAUUAUCACUAGAUUCAUCAUGAACUACAUUUUUACUUUUUAUAUAUUUAGUAUUAUAAAUCUUUAUAUAUUUUUCUGUAAAGUUAGUCAAAUAUAGACAACAGUUGACUUUUUGAAAAACUAAUACACCUUAUAUUUAGGAACGGAGGGAGUAAUUUAUUAUUGCCUCUAGGGCAUAUUUCCAACAGACAGCGGGGGUAAACCCUAUGUUGCUCAUUUGAGCAGCCUUGGGCAGUGCAACUCAGGUGAACGGUGAUGUUAGUUCACCAGUGUAGGCUAGCCGGGGCGGUGGCGCUAGGUAUAUCACAACGCCUUUCCCUUCCUCCCUCACGGCAGUGCUCUAUCUGACCCCAUCGGUAGCCAAGGAGAUGGUGUCGUGGCACUGGUGCAACAUACUUGUGCCCGGCCGACGGAGACAAUGGCCACAUCAACUAGAAAGGAAUCAGAACAGUAGGAUCUGCCCUAGGGGCAAUGGGUCCUGAUCUAAGAUUUGCGGCGUGGCUCGUCUAUCUGUGGCAACACAUCAUGGCAGCGAGCAGCGAUGGUCAGUCGAGCGUGAGGUGGUGUGAUGUGUGGCUCGUGGCUCUCUCCUAUGACGACGCAACAGAGGUCGUGUGGCGGCAUUCGGAAGCAAUAAAUAUGAUGGUGUCUUCUCCACCGAUGAAUUCUCCUUUGGUCAGAUAGUUCUGUGUGACUGGGUCGAUAGAGAGUUGGAUGACGAAUUGAUGGUGGACAUGGGGGUUGUUUUCUCGGGGUGAAAAAUUCAUGAUUUAUGGNNNNNNNNNNNNNNNNNNNNNNNNNNNNNNNNNNNNNNNNNNNNNNNNNNNNNNNNNNNNNNNNNNNNNNNNNNNNNNNNNNNNNNNNNNNNNNNNNNNNNNNNNNNNNNNNNNNNNNNNNNNNNNNNNNNNNNNNNNNNNNNNNNNNNNNNNNNNNNNNNNNNNNNNNNNNNNNNNNNNNNNNNNNNNNNNNNNNNNNNNNNNNNNNNNNNNNNNNNNNNNNNNNNNNNNNNNNNNNNNNNNNNNNNNNNNNNNNNNNNNNNNNNNNNNUGGAUAUCAAUUUCCUUCUAUUUAGGCCCGACCUAUCCCAUGUGGUUGGAUAUAAGAAAGCACUACAAUAUUAUCAGUUUUCCAAAAAAGAACGCAUCCUCUUACCUCUCCCAUUUGUUGUAAUAUUUCCCUAUCUUGUGAUAGAGUGUCAAAUGGUGUAUUAAAAGUGGGUGGCGGAAGACAAGCAACGACUAUGGUUCUUGCAAUCUCAACCGACUCUCUCGCCUUCAACCUACCGUGGCAGGGAGGACUCGGGUCCUUCUUUCCAUGUUAAGAAGUUACAUUAGUAUGAAUUUAUAGUUUAUGUCGGCAACGCUCGGGCGAAGAGUGUGAUGCCGCUGAGAACAAAUUUCGUUUGAUUCUUCUCUUGCCGUGAUGUUGCUUUACCGGGUAACGAUCGUGGAGCUAGGGAUGCCUUGUCUCCGCAGGUUCUAUCUGGUAGAAUUUGAGUUUUUGUCCUCACAAAUGUGUUCAUGCCCAUGUUAUGAGUUUGGGCUAGUAUCUGGUGCUUUUUUUUGUAUGAUCUUUUGUGGAUUUGGAGAGCUUCUAUGCUAUUUUGGUUAAGAUUCUGUGGUUCAAAUACAUGUACUUUUCGCUUCCCAUCUUUUUGGAUGGCCAGCUCAUGGUCUGAUCGCAGUGUCUUUAUUGAAUCUUUGACAAUAUUUCAUAUUGCAAAGAUUGCGACCAUGAAGAAUAAGCCUCCGAGAGAUUUCAUUGUGAUUCUUAUUCAUAAGAGUUACUUGUGUAAUUCCUUAGGUUUAUGAUCCAAAGCAUAUUGUGCAUGUACUGGCUGUCAAGUUUGAAUAAAGGUACAUGGAAUUUAAAGAAAAGCAACAACAAAGCACCAAAAUAACUUCUACAUGAGAGAGAAGGCCGGGCGGCUGGGCUUGGUGGCAGCAGCGGGAUGGCACCGACGGGAGGCUGCGACAAAGAAUUCUUUGAGCCAAUUUGAGUUGAUUUCUCCUAGGAAAGCGGCGGUUUUCUUCUAAAACCUCCACAGCUGGCCUUUUAGUGUUGUCUAUAAUUAUUUUGCCAAAAACCGACUCCAUGGAUCAACUAUAGGAAUUCUUAUACUGAAGUAAAACAAGUCUGGAAUUAUGAUAAAAGAAAAUAUUAUCAAUGUAUUGUUGUGGCUCGUAGGGCAAAGGAAAAGUGUUCAAAAUUGUUACUAGCAGGGGCGGCACCAGGAGUCUUCUUAGGUCUUCACAUGAAUAUCAAAGAUUUGGUGAUGUGUGUGUAUAUUGUAGCUAUAUUUACUGUAUAUUGCUGGUAUUUGCUGGUAUUUAGUACAAACAAAUUUCAAUGAAUACCAUGCCGAUGGUUCCUGCCUCCGUGACUGGUUACUAGUGCUUAAAAACUAGUGCAAUGUUGCCUCAGGCAUCCACCACUUUCUCCCUUCCCUUGGUAUUUUUCGUCAAAGGGUGAAUUUUAUUAGCUUAAAAUAAAGCAUCAAGUGAAUACAAACAUAAUGAGCACACACCCGGCCUCUGCAUAGCUAAGAUGCACACAGCCAACACACACUAAACACGUCGGCAAAUAGCAAAGUCAUACAAGACCAAAGCUAUGCCUUAGCAUGGAAAAAGAAGAAGAAAAAAGCCGAAGCGAUCAACAUAGCGAUCGAAAAAAGUCAAUUAUGUGUUGUCGCCACCACUUUUCCGCGAUCCCAACAGCUGCAUACACUGCUGCUGCACAACCUUACCCUCUGCGUUGAACCGCCGUCCAUAGAUUGUGUCUCAUCCCUUGGGUAUACUAGCCAAAAAGUAAUAAACGCGGAAGGACACAAAAUCUAUGCAUGUAAGAUAUAACUCUCAUUCCAGAUUACAUAAGUAUACCAUUGGUCCUGGAUGUGCAUAGUUUUUUUAGGAAAAACUUCCAAUCUAUUCAUCUUCAAUCAUAACAGUACAACGAAUACCAGAAAGUGCAUAGUUGUAAGUGGGUCAGAAACAAUCGACCUUAGAACACCUCAUCCCGUGACUUCCGUCCGUAGGCCGAGCUCCUUACGGCCCCCCGUAAGUCUAGCAUUUUUGGUGGCCGUGGAUAUGCUGGAUUGUGUGAGGGGAGGUUAUUUCCGUACACCGGCGACUCCGGACCAUCAUCAACGAACGCACUUUUGGAUCUGUUCAUCGCCUUAUCAAACCCUAGUAUCCAUUUCAUUGCUGUGCUGCGCUCCCCGAACGGAGGAGGGGACGGGAUCACAGCCCCGGCGCCAUUACCGGUGUCGACGACAUGCCCUGCAAAGAGGACCGCGUGCGACUCCUCCUCCACUAUGCAGUAGGCGAACGGGUGGUCGGCCACGAAGCCCACCACCGGCGGCCGGAACAGAGAGCACGUCAGAGGAGCGAUCGCGGCGGCUCUGGUUCCUUCCUCGAGCUCGUUCACCUCAAUGACGGCCUUGUGGAAGACGUCCUGCACCUGCACGUGCAUGCCCUUCAUCAUCAUCUCCGAGAGGUCGGCGCCUUCGCCGAAAGGAAGAGCAAGCCCCAGGUCCUUGAGCACGUCGGUGACGCUGCCCUCGAAGGUGAGCUCGAACUUGGGCACCCCGAACUCGACGACGACGGCCAUGCUCGUCGGCAGGUGCUCGCGCAGGAAGCCUGGCGACGUCAUCUUCUCCAGCAGGCUCCCCAGGCCGUCGCACGCGUUCGGGAGGAAGAUGCACAUGCUGGUGUAGGGCGGUGAGCUGCUCUUGUAGCGUAGCUUGAGCACCUUGAAGCUGCCGUGCUCGGCGAUGUAGUGGUGCUCGUAGUUGGACAUGAAGGGGACGUCGACGGCGGUGCCGUCCAGCCGGUAGAAGGGCCUGUUCUUGGUCGAGCUCUCGUAGAACGGCAGGCUCCACUUGCCCCUGAAGUAGAUGACGUUGGCCCUCAACUCCUACUCCCGCCGAUUUCCAUUGCUUUAUCUCAUCAAGGAUAAUAAGCACUAGUCUAGUGUCCGAUCUAACUUGGUUGUCUCUAUGGAACACCCUAGCGUUCCUUUGCUUCCAGAGGUGCCAUGCGGUAGCGAUGACAGAGGAGUCGAAACCUCUCUUGAUCUUCCCAUGAAAGGAGGCACGCGUCCUCCCCCACCAUGCCAUGAAUGAGUCGUCUUGGCUUGGGGUCUGAAUGUUGACUUGUAGGGCCUCGAGGCAUCCGUGCCGUACCUGUCCUGCGUAGACGCACUGGGUCACGAUGUGAUCCACAUUGUCCUCUUCCUGUUCGCACGUGAAGCAAGGCGAAGUGGUCUCUUGUAGACGCACUGGGCCAAGACGGUCGAAAAUGAUUAUAAGAUUUUCCGGCCGCGCCAAAAUCGCUCCGGCGAAAAGCAAUGCGGGGUUCGAAACUAAAAUCGAAAAUGAAAAAUAUGUGGAGACGCGGCCACUCCUCUCCCCCGAUGCGCCGCCGCCCCCCGUCCCCACUGCUCCGCCUCCGCUCCCAGCCUCUCCCCCUCGGCGUUCGCGCCUCCGGAUCGAAGCCCACGACGGCGGCGUUCCCAGAUCGGCGACGCGCCACCCCUGGCUCGUCGUCACCGCUGACCGCCGCGUCCUCGUCAUCGUAAAGGAAGCGCGGCUUCCAGCCGGCGGCGACGCGAAGAAGCUGCUCCUGCUCCCGCGGCUGACGGCGGCGGCCGUGACGAAGCUGCUCCUGCUCCAGAGGGGCGCCUCUGCCCCCGCGUGUUCCACCGGGAGAGGAGAGGAUCUUCUUCUUCUCGGGCGACGACGCAUCCUCCUCCUCCGCCGCCCUGCGUACAUGGGCGCUCACCACGGAAGGUACAGCGCGCGCUCCGCUUCUUCCGCUGGCCGCUGCCAUCUCCGCAGCGGAUGAUGUUUGCCUCUUGCUGCCCAAUCCCGGGCGACCGCAGGGGAGGUACCGCUGGAGCUCAAUCUGGCGUUCAACGGCGCGGACAUCCCCUGUGGGUUUCGGCUGGGCGGGCAUCUCCUACUCUUCCCGGACCUCAUGGUCCAGGUCCAGGUCCUGUCCUCUCCCUCCCCCUCCCCCUCCCCCUCCCCCUUCUCCAUUCUAGAACCCACUGCUCCUUCUCGACUGGAUUAUUGCCUGUCGACUGAAUUCCUUGCCCCACCCAUAAUUUUCAGUGACUAAUCCCUAUUAUUGUGUGCAGCACAAGUCUGCCCUACAUGAUGCCCGGCAGCCUCACCAAGCCGCAGAGACGGUAAUUAAGGUCCAUUUCCGAGCUCCCCACAAACCCCUCCUCCCUAGCAGGAUGCAUGCAUGUGCAACAGACUGAAACAAACAGCCUACACUGUCCUCAAGUGAAGUCCCCUGUUUCUUCUUCUUCUUUCACAGCUCUGCACUCCAACAGCUUGCACGGCUCCGUCACCGCCGAGAUCAUCAACUGCGCCAAGCCGGGUGCAAUUUAUGCGUGCCACCAGUAUGCCAUCUAGUUCUUUUUAUGCUACUUCAUUGGGUUUGUUUUGUUUGCUUGGUUGUAGGUUGAUGAAUAAGGCUGCUGAAAAAUAAAAUUCGGGUGUUUUGGUUGUGCAUCUGUUCAGUUAUCUGAGCCAACUCUACCUGCUGAGAUUAUUAUUGGUGUGGGCAACCACCAGUACGUGUAUGAGCAGCUUAAGGUUAUCCUUAUGCAUGAUUGUGUGCUGUCCAUCAUGAUGGCCGGACUCGUUCAUGAAUGUCGAUCUUUCCCACCGCAGGGGAGAUGCACAUUUUGAAGCCAUGACUUCCCUUUUUCUGUUCUUGUGUACCACUCGGUGAAGUGGCCUGCACUCCUGUUCCUAAGAGUUUUUGAAAUUUUGUAUUUGGUUGCCAUGCGAACCGAACUGGCCCGUACUCCUGUUCACCGGUCUUUUGUUUAGCAUGGAUUGUAUGCCCUGUUUCCAGUACUUAUGGUAGUUCUAGGGCAUUGUUUGAUACUUGCUAGCAUGAUUGACUUUUCCGUUGAGUAGCUAACCACUACCUGGUUGUUUGAACCAAUGGCUGGUUAGAUCCUGUAGGCUGAGUCUAUGGUCUGUUUGGGUUGCUAUUGUGGUCUGGUUGUUCUCUAAUAAGAACAUAUAUUUUUCUUGCUUGUGCAUUCAACUGAAGCCAUUGCUUAUGUGUGUACUGUUUGAUUGCCCCGUCAGACUAAAGAUGAUGGUAGAGUUUUUCCUGUCAACGACAACUCUGCUUUGAUGCGGCGCCUCGGCCUCCCGUGGAUGAGCUGAUGAUGAGGUACGCCCUCCUCUCCUUCCUUCCCCUUCCUGUCGCCCAAACAGUGACUAGUGUGUAUGCUGCAUUUUUAUUACGCCUACUCAGAGAAAUCACACGUAGAUGAAGUUGAGGAUUGCUAGGUAGUUAGUUGCAUGGUGAAAUUGACUUGGCUUAGAAUCUGGUGGUAGCUUGUCAUAGAUGAUAUGGUUCCCUCAAUGAAGAACUCUUAUGGCAUUUUUAGAUGAAUGAAUCAGAUUGCAAAUUUGUUUGAUUUUUUUCUUUUUUUAUUCAAAAAAGGAGGUUAAACCCCCGGCCUUUGCAUCAAUAUGACGCACACGGCUAUUUUUAUUAAUUAUUCAGCAGAGUACUGCAAAUUUGUUUGAUACUCACACCUGAUUGUUGAUUCGUUCGCUAUAUAUAUGUUGGUGUCGAACAUCCUGAUCCUUGUUUGGUGAAACAGCAGCAACAACAACAACAACAACAAUAACAACAACAACAAAGCCUUUAGUCCCAAACAAGUUGGCGUAGGCUAGAGGUGAAACCCAUAAGAUCUCGCAACCAACUCAUGGCUCUGGCACAUGGAUAGCAAGCUUCCACGCACCCCUGUCCAUAGCUAGCUCUUUGUCGAUACUCCAAUCCUUUAGGUCUCUCUUAACGGACUUGUUUGGUGAAACAGCAGUUGUUUUAUUUUGGUUUGAGUUCCUAUAUUGGUGCAGAGAUAUGAUUGAAAAUAAAUGUGCUUAUGUACCGGACUGCCAGUUCACAUUUCAACAUGGCUGGUUUGUUGUAUCUUAGUUUGCCGAUAGAUUCCUGGAUGGCCAGAUUUGAUAGCUAGCUUGAUUGUUUCUCACGUUUUAUCGGGGGAUGUCCUUUGCCCAAUUCCAUGGCUGAUUGUGUGUUAUUUCGUGUGGACGGGUACAGAAUUGCAGGCACGGAGGGGUUGUACACGGAGCUGCAGGGAAAGAUGAUGGGCAAUAAGGCCACAGAGUAAGCGCUCAUCUUUGUCGAGGAGUGCGGACUCACCAGCCUUCUCACGCCGGAUCAGUUCCUCAAGGAGUGGGAGAGUAUGCUCCAGGGGAUCUCUUCCUCCUGCGCGCCUGGUGAGAACGCUUUGUCUGUAACUCCCCUUCUAAUGAUACUCUUGUGGUUUGUAUUUGUAAGUGAUGGUGUCAAGCUUCAGUUGUCAGUUGUGUGGGGCAACUAAAUUGUGAGUUUAACAUGGCUGUAUAAUUGUAGGAUCAUUACGUCUUUGAUAGUUCAUUCACUGUGACUGCUUCAGUCGCUUUCAUGACUUGCUGCAAUCUCCCUUGCUUAUUUCUUAAAUUUCUCCACUCAAUUAUAAUGCUAAUUUCCAUAAUGGAGCCUUUAAUCAUACUUAUAAUCUUCAGCUUUCAGCAUUAUAUCUUUGAAGCACCGCUGUUUCCUUUACCUCCCGCCUUGAUUUGUUUGACCUUCUGCAUUGAGCUCCUGAUGCAAUUAUGAUUUGGGCUGCUGUGUGUCGUGAAGAUAGUAAUACGAUCGAUGAUUUACAAGUAAUUUAUUUAUUGCACUCCACUUGUUUUACAUAUGAUUUUUGAUGCGUUAAAACUGUUGUUGUGGUUCAGAUGCUUGGCAAGAUUGAUGUUGUUGGCGGCACAAGGGGCAAGGCGGUGAAGAGAGAAGGAAGUGCAUGCUGAAGGAAGUGCUUUGUGUCACGCAAGUGCUAAUUGAUGGAUGGAUAUGGCUGGUGAUAGAUAUGUGUUGUGUACUUAGUAGAUAAAACGGCUUGGUUUUGUUUGCCAUGAACCUCAAAUGUUGGAAAUCGAUGUAAAUGCAUUUCCCAGCUCUUGUUUAUGUUGGGCUGGGCAAUGAGAUGAGCGAGGGCGAUACUAGAAACAUGCAUGCCACCGUAAAUUUCUGUAUUUCUUAAAUGAAGUGGAGGAAUUUAAGAAAUCUGAUUCAUGGAAUGACCAUGAAUCACACUCUGUGAAAUGAAAUGAAAAUGCAUCAAGCAGGAGUGAAGAAAUGAGCUUCAUUUUCAAGCCGAG
rnacentral:lncRNA from 1 species